GGCGGUCUUCGGUAGUGGCUGCCGGGGUGUAGUGAAACCCCGGCCGCUUCGAUCGACGGCCGUA
rfam:Mycobacterium bacteremicum strain DSM 45578 NODE_12_length_168016_cov_37.3744, whole genome shotgun sequence.